rnacentral:rRNA from 1 species
UACGGAGGGUGCAAGCGUUAAUCGGAAUUACUGGGCGUAAAGCGCACGCAGGCGGUUUGUUAAGUCAGCUGCGAAAUUCCCGGGCUCAACCUGGGAACUGCAGUUGAAACUGGCAAGCUAGAGUCUCGUAGAGGGGGGUAGAAUUCCAGGUGUAGCGGUGAAAUGCGUAGAGAUCUGGAGGAAUACCGGUGGCGAAGGCGGCCCCCUGGACGAAGACUGACGCUCAGGUGCGAAAGCAUGGGGAGCAAACAGG